rnacentral:lncRNA from 1 species
GUAGCAUUUAAUCUUCACAAAAAUCCUGUGAGUUCAAUGCUGUUAUUAUUUCCAUUUUACAGAGGAGAAAAUGGAGUCACAGAGAGGAAGUAAUAUGUCUAAAGUUACACAACUCAUAGUAGAAGCAGCAUGGGAACAGAAAGAGCUGACCCGAGUCCAUGCUCCUGACCAUGAUGCCACCAGUUGUGAGAAUUCCAAGACCACAAGUAGUUCUUUGGUAGUUGCUAUGGUUUUUCCUGUGGUCAUGUAUGGAUGUGAGAGUUGGACUGUGAAGAAGGCUGAGCACCGAAGAAUUGAUGCUUUUGAACUGUGGUGUUGGAGAAGACUCUUGAGAGUCCCUUGGACUGCAAGGAGAUCCAACCAGUCCAUUCUGAAGGAGAUCAGCCCUGGGAUUUCUUUGGAAGGAAUGAUGCUAAAGCUGAAACUCCAGUACUUUGGCCACCUCAUGCGAAGAGUUGACUCAUUGGAAAAGACUGUGAUGCUGGGAGGGAUUGGGGGCAGGAGGAGAAGAGGACGACAGAGGAUGGGAUGGCUGGAUGGCAUCACUGACUCGACGGACGUGAGGCUGAGUGAACUCCGGGAGUUGAUGAUGGACAGGGAGGCCUGGCAUGCUGUGAUUCAUGGGGUCUCGAAGAGUCGGACAUGA